rnacentral:rRNA from 1 species
UACGGGGGGAGCAAGCGUUGUUCGGAAUUACUGGGCGUAAAGGGCUCGUAGGUGGCCAACUAAGUCAGACGUGAAAUCCCUCGGCUUAACCGGGGAACUGCGUCUGAUACUGGAUGGCUUGAGUUCGGGAGAGGGAUGCGGAAUUCCAGGUGUAGCGGUGAAAUGCGUAGAUAUCUGGAGGAACACCGGUGGCGAAGGCGGCAUCCUGGACCGGCAUUGACGCUGAGGCGCGAAAGCUAGGGGAGCAAACGGG